ensembl:lncRNA
GUGCCAUCUUUCACACAUUGAAAUUUAAACCAGGGCCACUUGCCAAGUCUAAUUCUUUUAAGUAAUUUCUGAAUGUAAUGACUUGGAUCUUCCUUCAUCUGUGAUUUCAUUUCUUCAUUUAGAAGGAAGGAGGAAACUUCGGAUGAGUGAUGUGCUGCCUUUCUGGUUGUCAGUAUAGGUGAGAAUAAGCAUCAGGUCCUGGCUUUGCUGACCAGCCCAUCUUGGGAGCCUUUCGCCUCUGUCUGCAGUACCUCAGACCUCCCUUUCACCUACUCUUACUGAACAUCAGCUUGAGAAUUAAAUGCUUCCAAAGCUUCGUAUGGGUGACAUGGGAAGGAAAGACACCAGGUAAACAUUUUACAAAGGUGCUGGAAUCUGAUUAAGUCACCUUGGGAGAGGGCCCUUCUGGACCAAGAAACAGGACUUAAGCUUUUAGGUAAAAACUCAUCCUAGAGAUCCACAGAAAGGUCAUUUUCCCACCUGAGAAAAGUCAGGGGCAGGCCAGUGCAUGAGGUAGAAAGGCCUCCGGUGGGUUCACGGCUGAACAUCCCCCCGUGUGCCUAGCAUCCAUCAUUCCUCACUGGGCGGCCCGGCUGUGUGCCUAACCAGCUCCUCUGCUUGGGUCCUCACUCGCUAACGUGUAUUGAUUCCCCCUCACCGCUCCCCCGCCCCCCGCAUGCUUGGUGCAGCCAGAGCACCGAGGCUGGGGAGGCUCAGUGAGGCCCUGGGUGCUAGGACCAGGAGAGAGCCAGGUCUGACCCCAAAUGCUCUAUUACUUUGCUCUGCCCUCUUGCCUCCUAUUCUCAGUGUGUGAAUGGACUCGAAAGUGCUUUUCAAGGUGUAAAGUGCGAAACGAGGAUAGUUCUGGACUUGCUGUCACCGUGCAGACCAUGGGGAUGGGGGGCAGCCUGCUCAUCUUUCCUCAGUUGCCUUUUGUAGGGGGGUCCCGAGCUGGCCUGGGGACCCAGCUUCUUACCCCUACCCCACCCACCCACCCACCCUGUCUCAGUGGAGAGGUGCCUUCCUCUGCCCGUGCCUGGCUGUAGCUUCCUAACGCAGCCUGCCUGUGGGCUGGCUGGGGUCCGAGAGGGUCCAGUGUGUGUGUGCCUACGAGUGUGUGCACACAUGCGCAAGGGCAUGCGCCAGCUGGCUCCGGGUGUGUAUCUCACAGUAUUAUCUGUGGCGUCUGUAAAUCUUUACUUGUCCUUUACUCCAAGAAGGAAAGAGAAAAUUCCCCGACUUCACACCUGCCAAGCAGAUGGUGAAGCAUAGUCAGAACCAACUCAGUCUUUCAGCAAAUGCCGGCUUGAUCAGCGUGUGGCAGAAAGCAAACCCAAACGACCCAGCUGGGCAGAGGGAGGUGCAGUGUGUAUGGCCAUCAAGUUAGAGGCUCUGAAGAAAUAAGACCGCUAAUAAAAUAUUUUAUAACUUUUCACUUGUGUUCAGUGUUAAAUGCUUCAGACUCAAAAUACUGGGCUUGGAUCUGACUCGGUAAAGGGGAGGGGUCUUUGUUUGUAUUUGGAAUUAUCCUUGCUGACAUCCAGCAGAGGUUCUGGUUCAUUCCUCAGUGGCCCCGUCUAACGCCUGAUUGUAAAUAGUCUCCUUUCUCUCAGUAACUUUCGUGUUUCAUGUUGAACUGUCUUAAAGUUCUGUUUUUCUCCUCUGUGUUCCAGCCUCCUCACCCAUCUCUUCCCCGCCCCCUUGUUAAUGUGAGCCAGGGCUUUAGAAAGUGCCGACAGCCCAGAUUCACAGGGACCAUGUGUGCCUCCCUUGCGAUAGUCCUAGGGGACAGGGACCGUGGAAGCUGGUGUAGGGUGUUGCUCGGCUCCCUGGUUUUGGUCAGGAAAUACACCCAGAGCCACACUUUCCAGGGAAGUGUGUUUAGGGCUCGUUGUCAUCAUGGGCUUGCCUCUCUCCUUGGGGACACAGAGGAUGGAGCCAGGCAAGUCCCAGGAUGGGCGGCCCCUGCAUUUCUGCUAAGUGCCUGGAGAGUGUGUGCAGACACUGAAGAGCUCCCUGGAGUGGGGCAGGCUUGAGAGCCUCCCUCUGCUUCCUCUCUGCACCACCGCUGCCCUGCGGAUCCCACCCUUCUCUGCAGCUUCCAUUUAAGGUCUGGUCCUUCCGGUCCCCGCACUUGACCUCCUGCCUCAGGGAAAUGCCCCGGAGACAAUCGCCUUCUGCAAAAACAGGUGUUUCUGAUGUCCCUAUUGGGGGUCCCCCUGGGACCAGAAAUGGGGGAGCCCCACACCCUCCCUGUGGAGUCCACUUUUCCCACCUGCAGGCUCCAUGCAGCCUGGGCUGAAAAUCCCACUUUCUGGGCAGGAAGUCGGCAUGCAGUUGAAGCAUUCAGGCAUGUCCUUCUGAGGCUCAGCCCAGGUUUUCUGACAGCUGUUACAUGUCCUCCCCCACUUCUUCUUCCCAUCUUUGAGGAA